UGUUCGGCCUCACCAAGGAAAAGAGGAAAGAAAGAAAGAACAAACCCUAGUGAGCAAAAAUUCAAGGAAAAAUUGGUGGAUUUCAAGGAAUCAAGUGACAAAAGGUGGUGAAACUUCCGAAAAGGGUAAGGAGAUUGUACCCGAAGAUCGAGAUUAGGAGUACCUCGACUCCCGAUAUUAACUCCCCAUUGGGCCCGUGACAAUCGCCGCGAAGCCUCGACAGACAUUCUUCACCCUG